UUUCAGUUUGAUUGAUAAUGAGCCUUCGCUUCGGAAACUUGAAAGUUGAAAGUGAAAUGAAAAUCGAAGGCAAGAAUCCAUUCAAAUGGCAUCUAAAAAUUCGGAUAUAUUCAUCGUUGAUGGAGGUCUGAGCACAGAGCUGAUAAGACUCGGUUUCCCGGUUGACCUGACUGACAAGGAUCCCCUGUGGACAUCGACAUAUCUUUUGAAAAAUCAUAAUGCACUCCGGAAAGCGCAUCUCAGUUUCCUUGAACAUGGUGCUGAUGUCAUCUUAACAGGUACUUACCAGGCCAGUUUAGAGUUGUUUGAGAAGGCAGCAGGGAUAGGAGCAGAGGAAUUCAGCAAGCUGAUUCAAACGGCAUGUGACAUCGCGAGGCAGGCAGUGGAGGAAUUCUGGGAGAAACAAUCUCAACCUGGAAGAAGGAAGCCUCUCAUCGCUGGAUCGGUAGGACCUUACGGAGCUUGUCUGCUAGACUUCUCAGAAUACCAUGGCAACUACGUGGAUAACAUGACAAUGGAGGAAUUAAAGCAGUGGCACAGACCCCGCAUCCAAGCACUUGUAGAUGGCAAGGUUGAUCUGUUAGCCAUAGAAACUAUCCCGUCCAUUGUUGAGGCCGAAGCUCUACUGUCAGUUCUACAAGAGUUUCCAAGUAUGAAGGCAUGGCUGACUUUCUACUGCAAGGACAAAUCCCACAUAGGCCAUGGAGAGAGCUUUGCUGAGGCCGUUAGCAAAGUCAGCGCCUGCUCCCAGGUAGUGGGAGUCGGUACCAACUGCAUCGCUGCAGAAAACGUCACAGCGCUGCUACAGAGUGCCUCAACAUCCAGGAAUGGAAAACCCUUUGUCGUUUAUCCCAACGCACCCGGAGAGCAGUGGAUAGAUGAUAGCGUAUGCGGAAAGACCGCUGCUGAUGAGUUUGAUGACCUCAUACCGGCAUGGAUAGAGGCAGGAGUUAAGUACAUCGGGGGUUGCUGCGGAACUAGUGCCUUAGACAUCAAACAUAUAGCAAAUCUACUUACCAAUAGAUAGUGAAGGUCGAUUAACUUAUUUGUUGACUUCAUUUUUUUCCUCUUAGUUUAAAGGGAUUGGGUAAUUUUGUCUCAGAUUCUGAAACAAAAUCCUGGAUUUAGCUCAUGCUACAAUGAUAA